GAUUCUGUUGAUCUGGCUGGCUAGGCGGUUGUCCCCUUCCUCCUUCACCAGUCCAUGUACGUCCCUCCCAAAGCUGCAUGAUUGGUCAAAGAGGGUGACCUUCCCUGAAUAGAGGAGGACUGGUCUUUGGUCAAGGGUAUAGGAGGAGCUGCGCUCCCCUGCGAGAACCUCCAGACAAGUUCAAUUAUUAUUUUUAAAGAUGAAGGUAACUUAGAAAUCAAUAAGUAUUCUUUUAAAAUGUUAAUUACAUUUAUUUAUUUAUA
ensembl:misc_RNA 7SK 7SK RNA